rnacentral:lncRNA from 1 species
GAAAAUAAGAAACAACAACGACUUAGUGCUGUAUAAUUUAAUGGAGUAAUAAUUGGAAUGAAAGCUAAGCAGUUGAGAAGAAGUAACGAGAAGGAGGGGAAAAUUUUAUUUUAUCUAUUCAAAAUUUUGUAGAUAUAAAAGUGCAAGAUUGAACUACACCAAAGUUACGAGAGAAAAAGGAACCGCACGCUAAAACUUC